UGAGCAAUCUGCCCUUCUCUUCGGAAUAAGCGUUGGAAACGACGUCUAAUGCCGAAUACGACCUCCUUUCGCAUGAUCGGAGGUGGAAAGCUCCGGCGGAGAAGGAUGAGCUCGCGGCCUAUCAGCUAGUUGGUGUGGGUAAUGGCCCACCAAGGCGACGACGGGUAGCCGGCCUGAGAGGGUGACCGGCCACACUGGGACUGAGACNCGGCCCAGACUCCUACGGGAGNAGCG
rnacentral:rRNA from 1 species